GCACUGCCAACGAGUCCCACAAUAGGACGAAACGGCCGUCCAGUGC
rfam:Schistosoma mansoni, Puerto Rico, WGS project CABG01000000 data, contig: 0094